AGUCGAACGAUACCUGGUAGCUUGCUACCGGGGAAAGUGGCGCACGGGUGCGUAACGCGUAUGCAACCUACCUUAAUCAGGGGGAUAGCCCGAAGAAAUUCGGAUUAACACCGCAUAAAAACACAGGAUAGCAUUAUCCAAUGUUCAAAUAUUUAUAGGAUUAAGAUGGGCAUGCGUGUCAUUAGCUAGUUGGCGGGGUAACGGCCCACCAAGGCGACGAUGACUAGGGGAUCUGAGAGGAUGACCCCCCACACUGGUACUGAGACACGGACCAGACUCCUACGGGAGGCAGCAGUAAGGAAUAUUGGUCAAUGGAGGCAACUCUGAACCAGCCAUGCCGCGUGCAGGAAGACAGCCCUCUGGGUCGUAAACUGCUUUUAUUCGGGAAUAAACCUCAUUACGUGUAAUGAGCUGAAUGUACCGAAGGAAUAAGGAUCGGCUAACUCCGUGCCAGCAGCCGCGGUAAUACGGAGGAUCCAAGCGUUAUCCGGAUUUAUUGGGUUUAAAGGGUGCGUAGGCGGCCUGUUAAGUCAGGGGUGAAAGACGGUAGCUCAACUAUCGCAGUGCCUUUGAUACUGACGGGCUUGAAUGAACUAGAGGUAGGCGGAAUGUGACAAGUAGCGGUGAAAUGCAUAGAUAUGUCACAGAACACCGAUUGCGAAGGCAGCUUACUAUGGUUUUAUUGACGCUGAGGCACGAAAGCGUGGGGAUCAAACAGGAUUAGAUACCCUGGUAGUCCACGCCCUAAACGAUGAAUACUCGCUGUUAGCGAUAUACAGUUAGCGGCUAAGCGAAAGCGUUAAGUAUUCCACCUGGGGAGUACGCCCGCAAGGGUGAA
rnacentral:rRNA from 1 species